rnacentral:rRNA from 1 species
UACAGAGGGUGCAAGCGUUGUUCGGAAUUACUGGGCGUAAAGCGUGCGUAGUCGGUAUUGAGAGUCGCGGGUGAAAUCCCAGGCUUAACCCUGGAACUGCCUGCGAGACCUCAGUACUAGAGUGUGAGAGGGAUAGUGGAAUACCAGUGUAGCGGUGAAAUGCGUAGAGAUUGGGUGGAACACCGGUGGCGAAGGCGGCUAUCUGGCUCACAACUGACGAUCAGGCACGGAAAGCGUGGGGAGCAAACAGG